UACGAAGGGGGCGAGCGUUGUUCGGAUUUACUGGGCGCAAAGGGCGCGCAGGCGGCGCAUUUUGUCAGGCGUGAAAGCCCCGGGCUUAACCUGGGAACUGCGUUUGAUACGGAUGGGCUAGAGUUCGGGAGAGGAGAGUGGAAUUCCUGGUGUAGCGGUGAAAUGCGCAGAUAUCAGGAGGAACACCGGUGGCGAAGGCGGGACUCUGGGCCGAUACUGACGCUGAGGAGCGAAAGCGUGGGGAGCGAACAGG
rnacentral:rRNA from 1 species